CUCUCCCAGGAAGCCAGCCAGCAGAGACCCAACCCCGAGAGUGGCACCGUGCACCCUGCAAAGAACCUGCAAUUACUCACAGCCCUACAGCUCUGGGCUGUAUUGAGCUACAGUGGAUGAAUGUGGCGG